UUAAAUUCAUUCUUAAAAAUUUUUAUGGCUAUAUUUGAAGAAAGUGAUUGAGAAAGAAUAGUAGAGACCAAACUUAUAUCUUUACAAUAAAGAACAUAUUCAACUACCAUAUAUGCUGCUAAAUUCCAAAACCUUACUUGCAAUAUGGAUUGAAAAGACAAAGCUCUUAUCUAUCAAUUUUGAUAUGGAUUAAAAGAUAAUAUCAAAGAUUUACUAUUAACUAUGUCAAGAGCAAACUCAUUGGAGCAAUCUAGUGCUUAAGUCAUUGCAUGCAACAAUCAACUAUUUAAAAAACACCAAGAACAAAGUUUUGGUUGAAGAAGAGCAAGUCAAGUCAUGGUGACAUCUUCUAAGUUUUCAAAAGCUUAUUUAUUUGAGCUAGAGCAUAUGUAAAUUGAUACAAUACGUUUUAAAUUUCUUAUUGAGCAAAAAAAGAUUCAUUGUUAUUAAAAGAUUUGUGCCUAUAUUGUGGAGAAUCCAAGCAUACUGCUUAACAUUGUCCAAAGAAGCAACGUAAAGACAAAAUGAAGAAUAUGGUUGCCAAAGAGGAUGAUAUGUUGGAAAACAAGUUUCUAUAGUUAUAAUAGAGACCAUGUGGUUAGAAUCUUGUGUAAUACCUAGUAAAGGUCAUAUUCUUUCCUCAAAUCCUUCACCUUGUUUUACAUUAGAAGUUUCUUUUAGAUCAAAAAAUAACAAAGUCUUAGACUAUUUUAUAGAUGAAGAUUUUGUCAAAGAACAAGAAAUAUUCUUUGUUUAAAAAACCAAACUUGUGCAUGUAGAAGAACCAUG
rnacentral:lncRNA from 1 species